UACGGAGGGAGCUAGCGUUAUUCGGAAUUACUGGGCGUAAAGGGCGCGUAGGCGGCCUUCUAAGUCGAACGUGAAAUCCCCGGGCUCAACCCGGGAACUGCGUCCGAUACUGGAAGGCUUGAAUCCGGGAGAGGGAUGUGGAAUUCCAGGUGUAGCGGUGAAAUGCGUAGAUAUCUGGAGGAACACCGGUGGCGAAGGCGACAUCCUGGACCGGUAUUGACGCUGAGGCGCGAAAGCCAGGGGAGCAAACGGG
rnacentral:rRNA from 1 species